rnacentral:rRNA from 1 species
GUGUCAGCCGCCGCGGUAAUACGUAGGUGGCAAGCGUUGUCCGGAUUUAUUGGGCGUAAAGCGAACGCAGGCGGGAGAACAAGUCAGCUGUGAAAGCCCUCGGCUUAACCGGGGAAGUGCAGCUGAAACUGUUUUUCUUGAGUGCAGAAGAGGAGAGUGGAACUCCAUGUGUAGCGGUGGAAUGCGUAGAUAUAUGGAAGAACACCAGUGGCGAAGGCGGCUCUCUGGUCUGUAACUGACGCUGAGGUUCGAAAGCAUGGGUAGCGAACAGGAUUAGAUACCCUGGUAGUCCAUGCCGUAAACGAUGAGUGCUAAGUGUUGGGAGGUUUCCGCCUCUCAGUGCUGCAGCUAACGCAUUAAGCACUCCGCCUGGGGAGUACGACCGCAAGGUUAAAACUCAAAUAAAUUGACGG